UUAGAAGCAGUAAACAGUUUUGUUAGUGUUUUUAUGGUCAAAAUGUGUCACAAUCCGAUGCAUUUGACUAGUUAUAAGAGUUAGAGAUGGAUUAGGAGUGUUUAGACAACACUUAUACCCAUUUUCUCCCAAAAGAGGCUAAAAUCAACAAAAAUUGUUUUGAAACAGUAAACAGCUUUGUUAGUGUUUCUAUGGUCAAAAUGUGUCACAAUCCAAUGCAUUUGACUAAUUAUAAGAGUUAGAGAUGGAUUAGGAGUGUUUAGACAACACUUAUACCCAUUUUCUCCCAAAACAGGCUAAAACCAACAAAACAUUGCUUGAAACAGUAAAUAGCUUUGUUAGUGUUCCUAUGGUCAAAAUGAGUCACAAUCCAAAGCCUUUGACUAAAUAUAAGAGUUAGAGAUGGAUUAAGAGUGUUUAGACAAUACUUAUACCCAUUUUCUCCUAAAAGAGGCUAAAACCAACAAAAAUUUUCUUAAAAGCAGUAAAUAGCUUUGUUAGUGUUUCCAUGGUCAAAAUGUGUCACAAUCCAAUGUAUUUGACUAAUUAUAAGAGUUAUAGAUGGAUUAGGAGUGUUUAGACAACACUUAUACCUAUUUUUU
rnacentral:sRNA from 1 species